UCCCUGGUGGCUCAGAGGAUAAAGAGUCUGCCUGCAAAGCAGGAGACCCAGGUUCGAUCCCUGGUUUGGGAA
rfam:Ovis aries breed Texel chromosome 2, whole genome shotgun sequence.